ACUGGGGAUAAUUCCGGAUAGGUCACAGAUGCUGGAAUGCACUGUGGCUCAAAGCUCCGGCGCCGAAGGAUGGGUCUGCGGCCUAUCAGGGUUGUAGUGGGUGUAAUGUACCUACUAGCCUACGACGGGUACGGGUUGUGAGAGCAAGAGCCCGGAGAUGGAUUCUGAGACACGAAUCCAGGCCCUACGGGGUGCAGCAGGCGCGAAAACUUUACAAUGCGGGAAACCGUGAUAAGGGAAUCUCGAGUGCCAGCAUAUAAUGUUGGCUGUCCAGAUGCCUAAAAAGCAUCUGUUAGCAAGGGCCGGGCAAGACCGGUGCCAGCCGCCGCGGUAACACCGGCGGCCCGAGUGGUAACCGCUUUUAUUGGGUCUAAAGGGUCUGUAGCCGGCCAUGUAAGUCCCUUGGGAAAUCUGGCAGCUCAACUGUCAGGCUGCUAGGGGAUACUGCUUGGCUUGGGACCGGGAGAGGUGAGAGGUACCUUGAGGGUAGGGGUGAAAUCUUGUGAUCCUCGGGGGACCACCAGUGGCGAAGGCGUCUCACCAGAACGGGUCCGACGGUAAGGGACGAAAGCUAGGGGCACGAACCGGAUUAGAUACCCGGGUAGUCCUAGCCGUAAACGAUGCUCGCUAGGUGUCAGUCACGGUGCGACCGUGAUUGGUGCCGUAGGGAAGCCGUGAAGCGAGCCACCUGGGAAGUACGGCCGCAAGGCUGAAACUUAAAGGAAUUGGCGGGGGAGCACUACAACGGGUGGAGCCUGCGGUUAAUUGAUC
rnacentral:rRNA from 1 species